rnacentral:rRNA from 1 species
AACGAACGCUGGCGGCAUGCCUAACACAUGCAAGUCGAACGGUAACAGCGGAGCUUGCUCCGGCUGACGAGUGGCGCACGGGUGAGUAACGCGUGGGAACCUGCCCUGGAGUGGGGAACAACCGCUGGAAACGGCGGCUAAUACCGCAUACGCCCCUUGGGGGAAAGCUUUAUGCGCUCUAGGAUGAGCCCGCGUCGGAUUAGCUUGUUGGUGAGGUAACGGCUCACCAAGGCUACGAUCCGUAGCUGGUCUGAGAGGAUGAUCAGCCACACUGGGACUGAGACACGGCCCAGACUCCUACGGGAGGCAGCAGUGGGGAAUAUUGGACAAUGGGGGCAACCCUGAUCCAGCAAUGCCGCGUGUGUGAAGAAGGCCCUCGGGUUGUAAAGCACUUUCACUCGUGAAGAUGAUGACGGUAGCGAGAGAAGAAGCCCCGGCUAACUCCGUG